AUUGAACGCUGGCGGCAGGCCUAACACAUGCAAGUCGAGCGGAUGAAGGGAGCUUGCUCCUGGAUUCAGCGGCGGACGGGUGAGUAAUGCCUAGGAAUCUGCCUGGUAGUGGGGGAUAACGUCCGGAAACGGGCGCUAAUACCGCAUACGUCCUGAGGGAGAAAGUGGGGGAUCUUCGGACCUCACGCUAUCAGAUGAGCCUAGGUCGGAUUAGCUAGUUGGUGGGGUAAAGGCCUACCAAGGCGACGAUCCGUAACUGGUCUGAGAGGAUGAUCAGUCACACUGGAACUGAGACACGGUCCAGACUCCUACGGGAGGCAGCAGUGGGGAAUAUUGGACAAUGGGCGAAAGCCUGAUCCAGCCAUGCCGCGUGUGAGGAAGGUCUUCGGAUUGUAAAGCACUUUAAGUUGGGAGGAAGGGCAGUAAGUUAAUACCUUGCUGUUUUGACGUUACCAACAGAAUAAGCACCGGCUAACUUCGUG
rnacentral:rRNA from 1 species